AACGAACAAUCUAGCAACAUCAAGCGCUUUGUGUUUGCUUCAGAGCAACCUGAACCAAAGGAACAGCCUGAAUCGCAGAUAUCAGAACAACAGAUUAUUGCGGCGAUUAAAAAAGUGAACUGCACAAAAAAAUCAACAUUUUGCAAGGAAAAUUUGAUGUGUUGGCGGAAUCUUUGGCGGAGGCGUUGGCCCUGUUGAAGGUUCAAGUGAGAAAAGAUCGAAAAGCCACUUCCCAAUCAAAUCAAGGGAAGAGUUAGAGGAAAUAAACGGCGCCAUAAAUGAGAAGCACAUUGACCUAUAUACAACGAAACUGAAAAAUAUUUUGGGGACCGGCCAAUCGUUGGCAAAAUGUUUAAAAAAUGUGCUCGACGAGGAGCUCUUGAUGGAGUACAAUUUGGACGGGACAUCAGGAAAGAGUUCCCUGAAAAAUUUGAAAAAUUUUUAUAGAGCCCUGGAAAUGGCGGUGCAGUUGAAAAUUCCCAAUGAGCCCGCUGAGAAUACAAUAAGGAAAGCGAUUCACAACAUAAAAAAUGGAGCAUUUCAAAAAUUAUCUAGGGCGAAGAAAUUAAGGGCUCAG